GGGAAAUCAGUGAUGUCAGCUUCCUCCUCCUCUUCCUUCUUUAUGCUGAGGAGCUGUGGGACUUGCUGCUCCAUAUCAGGGCUCCACUCAUCAAGUUCUUCUUUGAUUGGUAACAGCUGCUGAAUAUCUGAAAGGUUUUUAACCUCUCCUGAGGCCUCGGAGAGUUGUUGACCCACCCAUUCACCCAUCUGGGUUUGUUCAGUCAAGGUGUGAAAUGCUCUGAGCCAUCUGGGAUGCCCUGCAGAUUGAACCAGUAUGCUGUGGAUCUCUGGGAAUACCGAGUUUUGCUUUGUGUUUAAUCAUGAUGAUCGCUCAGUUUUGUAAGUUAUCCUCUCUUUAUUCUCCCUGCAUCGUCAGUGU